UACCGGGACUGAGAGGUUGACCCGGCGCAUCGGGACUGAGACACUGCCCGGACUCCUACGGGAGGCUGCAGUAACGAAUAUUGGUCAAUGGGCGAAAGCCUGAACCAGCGACGCCGCGUGUGGGAGGAAGCCCUUCGGGGUGUAAACCACUGUCAGGGAUUACCAAGCAAUGGAGGCUAAUACCCUCCUGCGUUGAGGCGUCCCAGAGGAAGUCACGGCUAACUUCGUGCCAGCAGCCGCGGUAAUACGAAGGUGGCGAGCGUUGUUCGGAAUCACUGGGCGUUAAGAGCACGUAGGCGGACUGCCAAGCGUCUUGUGAAAUCCCCCGGCUCAACCGGGGAAUUGCUGGGCGAACUGGUAGUCUUGAGGCAAGUAGGGGCAGAUGGAACUCUUGGUGGAGCGGUGGAAUGCGUAGAUAUCAAGAGGAACGCCAGAGGCGAAGGCGAUCUGCUGGGCUUGACCUGACGCUGAGGUGCGAAAGCCAGGGGAGCAAACGGGAUUAGAUACCCCGGUAGUCCUGGCCAUAAACGAUGUCCACUAGAUCGGUGAACUUCUGACAGUGUGCCGGUCGAAACAAAAGCGUUAAGUGGACCGCCUGGGGAGUACGGUCGCAAGGCUAAAACUCAAAGGAAUUGACGGGGGCUCACACAAGCGGUGGAGCAUGUUGCUUAAUUCGAUGCAACGCGAAGAACCUUAUCCUGGGCUUGACAUGCUUGGAUGCCCAUCUGGAAACAGAGUAGGCUGCCCUUCGGGGUGAAACUUGCACAGGUGCUGCAUGGCUGUCGUCAGCUCGUGUCGUGAGAUGUUGGGUUAAGUCCCGUAACGAGCGAAACCCUUGUCGUUAGUUGCCAGCGCGUAAUGGCGGGGACUCUAGCGAGACUGCCGGUGUUAAACCGGAGGAAGGUGGGGAUGACGUCAAGUCCUCAUGGCCUUUAUGCCCAGGGCUGCAAACGUGCUACAAUGGCGAGGACAAACCGACGCAAAGCCGCGAGGUCGAGCAAAUCGGAGAAACCUUGCCCCAGUUCGGAUUGGAGUCUGCAACUCGACUCCAUGAAGUCGGAAUCGCUAGUAAUCGCGUAUCAGCGUGACGCGGUGAAUAUGUUCCUGAGCCUUGUACACACCGCCCGUCAAGUCAUGGAAGCUGGGAGCGC
rnacentral:rRNA from 1 species